rnacentral:sRNA from 1 species
UGGUAACAUGGGCAUAGCCAUGAUGGAACCGUCUCUACCCAUCUGGAUGUACAAGACCAUGCACUCCUCUGAGUGGCAGCAAGGAAUCGCUUUUCUACCUGCCAGCAUUUCCUACGCAAUCGGCACAAACCUGUUUGGACCUCUGGCUCACAAGAUGGGAAGAUGGCUGAGCGCAAUGAUUGGAAUGUUGAUCAUCUCAAUUUGUUGCUUUGCA